rnacentral:tRNA from 5 species
CGCGGGGUGGAGCAGUCUGGUAGCUCGUCGGGCUCAUAACCCGAAGGUCAUAGGUUCAAAUCCUGUCCCCGCUACCA